rnacentral:rRNA from 1 species
GGCUCAGGAUGAACGCUAGCGGCAGGCUUAAUACAUGCAAGUCGUGGGGCAGCAUGAGUAGCAAUACUUGAUGGCGACCGGCAAACGGGUGAGGAACACGUACACAACCUUCCUUCAAGCGGGGAAUAGCCCAGAGAAAUUUGGAUUAAUACCCCAUAAUAUAUUUGAUAAGGCAUCUUAUUAAUAUUAAAGCUUCGGCACUUGAUGAUGGGUGUGCGGCUGAUUAGAUAGUUGGCGGGGUAACGGCCCACCAAGUCUACGAUCAGUAGCUGAUGUGAGAGCAUGAUCAGCCACACGGGCACUGAGACACGGGCCCGACUCCUACGGGAGGCAGCUGUAAGGAAUAUUGGACAAUGGACGAAAGUCUGAUCCAGCCAUGCCGCGUGAAGGAUUAAGGUCCUCUGGAUUGUAAACUUCUUUUAUAUGGGACGAAAAAGGGCAUUCUUGUUCACUUGACGGUACCAUAUGAAUAAGCACCGGCUAACUCCGUG